GUCUUGCUAGCUCAGUCGGUAGAGCAUCUCACUUUUAAUUAAUGAGGGGGCCGUUGGUUCGAAUCCAACGCAGGACACCA
rnacentral:tRNA from 1 species